rnacentral:rRNA from 1 species
UACAGGGGGUGCAAACGUUGCUCGGAAUCAUUGGGCGUAAAGCGCACGUAGGCGGUUCGUUAUGUCGGAUGUGAAAGCCCUUGGCUUAACCGAGGAAGUGCAUCAGAAACUGGCGAGCUAGAGUACGAAAGAGGAUCGCGGAAUUCCCGGUGUAGAGGUGAAAUUCGUAGAUAUCGGGAGGAACACCCGUGGCGAAGGCGGCUCUCUGGGACGGUACUGACGCUGAGACGCGAAAGCGUGGGGAGCGAACAGG